CCUGGGAACUGCAUUUGUGACUGCGAGACUAGAGUGUGGCAGAGGGGGGUAGAAUUCCACGUGUAGCAGUGAAAUGCGUAGAGAUGUGGAGGAAUACCGAUGGCGAAGGCAGCCCCCUGGGCCAACACUGACGCUCAUGCACGAAAGCGUGGGGAGCAAACAGGAUUAGAUACCCUGGUAGUCCACGCCCUAAACGAUGUCAACUAGUUGUUGGGGAAGGAGACUUCCUUAGUAACGCAGCUAACGCGUGAAGUUGACCGCCUGGGGAGUACGGUCGCAAGAUUAAAACUCAAAGGAAUUGACGGGGACCCGCACAAGCGGUGGAUUAUGUGGAUUAAUUCGAUGCAACGCGAAAAACCUUACCUACCCUUGACAUGCCAGGAACUUUCCAGAGAUGGAUUGGUGCCCGAAAGGGAACCUGGACACAGGUGCUGCGUGGCUGUCGUCAGCUCGUGUCGUGAGAUGUUGGGUUAAGUCCCGCAACGAGCGCAACCCUUGCCAUUAAUUGCCAUCAUUCAGUUGGGCACUUUAAUGGGACUGCCGGUGAUAAACCGGAGGAAGGUGGGGAUGACGUCAAGUCCUCAUGGCCCUUAUGGGUAGGGCUUCACACGUAAUACAAUGGUCGGUACAGAGGGUUGCCAACCCGCGAGGGGGAGCUAAUCCCAGAAAGCCGAUCGUAGUCCGGAUUGUUCUCUGCAACUCGAGAGCAUGAAGUCGGAAUCGCUAGUAAUCGCGGAUCAGCAUGUCGCGGUGAAUACGUUCCCGGGUCUUGUACACACCGCCCGUCACACCAUGGGAGUGGAAUCUGGCAGAAGUAGGUAGCCUAACCGCAAGGAGGGCGCUUACCA
rnacentral:rRNA from 1 species